rnacentral:rRNA from 1 species
AUGAAGCUGGAUUCGCUAGUAAUCGCGCAUCAGCCACGGCGCGGUGAAUACGUUCCCGGGCCUUGUACGCACCGCCCGUCAAGCCAUGGAAGCCGGGAGUGCCUGAAGUACGCGACCGCAAGGAGCGUCCUAAGGUAAAACCGGUGACUGGGGCUAAGUCGUAACAAGGUAAC